CUUCACACAGACUGCAUGAAAGGAGGGACCUUGUGAGAGGUAAUUGGAUCAUGGAGGUGGUUACCCUCAUGCUGUUCUCAUGAUAGUGAGUGAGUUCUCAUGAGAUCUGAUGGUUUUAUAAGGGGCUUUUCUCCCUUUGCUCAGCACUUCUCUCUCCUGCCACCAUGGGAAGAAGGACAUGUUUGCUUCCCCUUCCGCUGUGAUUGUGAGUUGCCUCAGGUCUCCCCAGCCAUGCAGAACUGUGAGUCAAUUAAACUUCUUUUCUUUAUGAAUUACUCAGUCUCAGGUAUUUCUUCAUAGUAGCAUGAGAACAGACUAAUACAUCAACCAUUUCAAAAGACCACCCACUGAUAUUAACCAACCACCUGAAGCUGCCUUUCCUUUUAGCAGUUUCAGCACAACUAACCAGCAUUUCUUCAGGAAGACUGAGUAAGGAGAUGUGUUAAAGAAAAAAUUAUCUUGACACUUGUUAAAAUGAUAAGGAAGAUGCUAUUCAGGACUAUCUUUUAAUAAGGAGAGAAAUGAGGCUCAACCCCAUUACAACAAGUGGGAAUGUGCAGCCAAGAAGCAGAUUGGAGGGAGUCGGAUGGACAAUUACUAAGAGAAGACAUCAAGAGCAGGGGUUCUUGCUAAACUGACCUAACAGGAUUCUUGCUGAGGGCAGGUCUGGCAUCCUGGCAGAAUGCGAUUGACCAAUUCUGUCCCCUGUACCACCAACUGGACUCCCUGGGCAGCAUUCAGCUGGCGGCUGGCCUCUUUGCUGAGUCCAAGAUGGCUUCAUUCUCUAGCCUGGGGCCAUGGUGGGCUGGCUGAUGGUCUGAGCUCAGCUGGGAUCCUCCUAUGCUACAGGAAGUCUCAAAAGCUCUCCUCUGUCUCUCUAGCAGUUACGUGGGCUUCUUACCUGAUGGUUUAGGGCUUCAGGAGAGCUACAGGGAGCAAAAACCAUCACUUAAGCCUGUGCCUGGAAACUCACAUGGCCAGGCCUGCAGUAUUCUAAUGGUCAAAACCAUCACUGAUGAUGUCCAGAUUUAAUAGGUAGGGAAAGAGACCCAUUUCUUAAUGUGAAAAGCAUCAAAGAAUUUUCAGCUUUCUUUAAUCUGCCACAAAUGCUAACAAACUUGUGUUCCUUUUCCUCUGCUCACAUGAGAUCAAAGGCAGAUAGUCAGAGAGGAAAAGAUACUGUCACAGGCAAAGCUGUUCAAUAUUUUGAUCAUUAGUCCUACCAGGCAAGUCAACUGCACAGAAAAAAGACAUGACUGGAAUGAUCAUGGGAGAAGCAAGAAAACUACCAGAAGGUGACACAGCAUUUCCAAAGGGACAGCCACCUGAAGCUGGCAUGUGUAGGGUCAGCUAGCCAGAAGAAGGCUGGGCAGCCCUUGAGGGCACAACAGCCACAGUAGAGAGUGAUAAGAAAUGCUCAGCCACGUAUCCAUUUAUUCAACUUAACAUUUACUGAACAUCUACUGUAAACAAAGCACUGAGCUGGUCAUUAUAGACAUAAAGAUCCUUGUCUUCCAAGGGCCUAGAGGCUCCUGGGGAGGAAAGAUGUGGCAAUUGUUAAAUACAGAGUAAGAUGAUAAUGCUAAGAAUUACAUUCUCGGUGAAGACCUUGAGUUAGCAAAAUUACAUUGUACUAACCCAAAUUACUUGAAAAGUGCAAAUAAAUAAAUAAAAAUACAAGUCUUAUAUCUAGUUACCUUUGCAAUGACUCC
rnacentral:lncRNA from 1 species